GAAAUGCGAUAAGUAAUGUGAAUUGCAGAAUUCAGUGAAUCAUCGAAUCUUUGAACGCACCUUGCGCUCCUUGGUAUUCCUUGGAGCAUGCCUGUUUGAGUAUCAUGAAAUCUUCAAAGUAAAUCUUUUGUUAACUCAAUUGGUUUCUACUUUGGUAUUGGAGGUCUUUGCAGCUUCACACCUGCUCCUCUUUGUUCAUUAGCUGGAUCUCAGUGUUAUGCUUGGUUCCACUCGGCGUGAUAAGUUAUCUAUCGCUGAGGACACUGUAAAAGGUGGCCAAGGUAAAUGCAGAUGAACCGCUUCUAAUAGUCCAUUGACUUUGACAAUACUUUUAUGAUCUGAUCUCAAAUCAGGUAUGACUACCCGCUGAACUUAAGC
rnacentral:misc_RNA from 1 species